rnacentral:rRNA from 1 species
GGCGAACGGGUGAGUAACACGUGGGUGAUCUGCCCUGCACUUCGGGAUAAGCCUGGGAAACUGGGUCUAAUACCGGAUAGGAGCCAUUUUUAGUGUGAUGGCUGGAAAGUUUUUCGGUGUAGGAUGAGCUCGCGGCCUAUCAGCUUGUUGGUGGGGUAAUGGCCAACCAAGGCGGCGACGGGUAGCCGGCCUGAGAGGGUGGACGGCCACAUUGGGACUGAGAUACGGCCCAG